AUUGAACGCUGGCGGCAGGCCUAACUCAUGCAAGUCGAACGGUAACAGGAAACAACUUGCUGUUUCGAUGACGCGGGGCGGACGGGUGAGUAAUGUCAGGGAAACUGCCUGAUGGAGGGGGCUAACUACUGGAAACGGUAGCUAAUACCGAAUAACGUCGCAAGACCAAAGAGGGGGAACCACAGGCCCCUUGCCAUCGGAUGAGCCCAGAUGGGAAUAGCUUGUUGAUGGGGUAACAGCUGACCAAGGCGACGAACCCUAGCUGCUCUGCGAGGAUGACCAGGCACACUGGAACUAAGACACGGUCCAGACCCCUAUGGGACGCAGCAGUGGGGAAUAUUGAACCAUGGGCGCAAGCCUGAUGCAGGCAUGCCCCGUGUAUGAAGAAGGCCUUCGGGUUGUAAAGGACUUUCAGCCGGGAGGAAGGGAGUAAAGUUUAUACCUUCGCUCAUUGACGUUACCCGCAGAAGAAGCUCGGGCUGACUCCUUG
rnacentral:rRNA from 1 species